rnacentral:rRNA from 1 species
AACGAACGCUGGCGGCGCGUCUUAAGCAUGCAAGUCGGACGGCAAGAUGCCUUCGGGCAUCCUAGAGUGGCGAACGGGUGAGUAACACGUAAGUGAUCUGCCCCGCAGUUGGGGAUAGCCUGUGGAAACACAGGGUAAUACCGGAUGAGAUGUCAAUGAUUGAACUAUGACAUGAAAGUGGCUACGGCCACGCUGCGGGAUGAGCUUGCGGCUCAUUAGCUAGUUGGGGGUGUAACGGACCACCAAGGCGACGAUGAGUAGCCGGCCUGAGAGGGUGAACGGCCACAUUGGGACUGAGACACGGCCCAGACUCCUACGGGAGGCAGCAGCUAAGAAUAUUCCGCAAUGGGGGAAACCCUGACGGAGCGACGCCGCGUGAACGAUGAAGGCAAGAGAUGUUGUAAAGUUCUUUUAUCACUGGAGAAUAACCGGGGCAGGGAAUGGCUCCGGGAUGACGUCAGGUGAUGAAUAAGCCACGGCUAACUACGUGCCAGCAGCCGC